AUUUAUAUAGUUUAUAAAAAACAUUAUAUUUUCAUUAUAAAAAAAGAAUCAAUCUUAUAAAUA
rnacentral:tRNA from 1 species